UGAAUUAAAAGGAGUGCAAGGGGCACUCAACCCUUACAAAAAUUACGAAAACCAUUAGAUGCUUAGAAUGCAAGCUAAUGGAUCGUUACACCAAUCUGAGAAUACAAAGGAAGGAUUAAGUUCUAUUUGACCUACAAACCAAACCCAAGAAAUAAAAAUAAUUUGAUCAACAAGUAAGGCCAAAUUAAACACAUCUCCAUGAAACAUAAUGUUGUUUCGAGUUCGCCAUAUACUCCAAGUGGUUGCUAGCCAAAUGACAUGACGAGCUUUAGCAAGACUCUUACUCUUCACCAAAUCACCAAAAGUAGUGAAAUGCUUCCAAACUUCCUCAAAAGUUAUAAAAUUCACGUCCAGCCAUUCAUACA
rnacentral:lncRNA from 1 species